CUGUGGUCGAACUGCUGUCUAACUCUCUGGCUCACUCAGAGUAAAGGUUCAAAGACUUCCAGGAACUUCCAGCCCUGCAGGAUCUGAUCAUAUCAUUGGCCUCUACUCAGUGACUCUGCUCAGGGCAUACCACAGUUCUCAGUUUACCAUGAACACAAGCACAUGCUCCUGCCCCAGUGCCUUUGCACUGCUAUUUAUCCUUCCUGGAAAGAAUUUGAUACUGAUACCAUCAAGAUUAUUAUUCAUGUUCUUCAAAUCUUACCUCAAAGGUCAUCUUUUCAUCAAGGCACUGAGUACUUUGGCAAAUACUUGUCUUCCCUGUUGCCCCCACCACCACAUACCCUCUGAAUAAACUUGUAACUCUUAUGACUCCUAUAUGAACAUUGUGCUUAUUUAAUAUGUUUAUAGUGCAUCCUAUUCUAGCCAUUAGAACAUAUAUUUCACUAGGCUGGAUUUUUUUUUACUUUUCCUCUGAAUUUCCCAGAUAUAAAAAAUACUAUAACACAUAUUUUGAGACAGGGUCUCACUUGCUCAGGCUGGCUUCCAACUUUCAAUCCUCUUGAGCCACUAGGAUUACAGGUGUGUGCCACCAGCUGUCGUUCCUUCAUUUUUACUGCUGAAGUUUUACAUUUUAUGGUUAUACACAGUAUGCCACUUGCCUGAUGAUGUACAUGUGUUUGAUUCUACUCUGCCAUAAGCAUCAGUGCACACACAGAUAAGAUCACCCCAGGCAUAUGAUCAUGAGAAGGAACUUUCUUUCUUUCUUUCUUUCUUUUAGAGUAAUGUAUUUUAUUUAUUUUUAAUUAGUUAUUUUAUUUUUCCAUGUUUUUAUUGGUGCAUUAAAAUCAUACCUAAUGGUGGGAUUCACUGUUACAUAUUUAGACACACACACAUUAUAACAUUGUAAUUUGUCAACAUCCUUCCCCAGUAUCUCUUUCCCUUUCUCCUUCCUCCCCGUUUCCUUUCCUCUGAUGAACUCCCCUGGAUUUUCAUCAGACUCUAUCUCACAUCUUUCUUUCCCUUUUUCCCCUCUAGCUUCCACAUAUGAGAGGAAAAUAUACAAUUCAUGGCCUUCCAAGUUUGGCUUUUUUUGCUUAAUAUUCUCAAGUUCCAUCCAUUUCCCUACAAAUGACAUAAUUUCAUUUUUCUUUAUGGCUGAAUAAAACUCCAUUGUGUACAUAGACCACAUUUUCUUUAUCCAUUCAUCAACUGAUGGACACCUAGAGUGGUAACAUAUUUUGGCUUCUGUGAAUUGGCUUAAUCCAGUAUUUUUUAAAUCCUCAGUUAAACAAUUUUAUUGUGUAUAUAUGCAGUUACUAUUUAUAAGACAUUCUCUAAGAUGCUAUUGGGAUAUUAGUAUAUACAAUAAAUCCAUGGAUGACUACCUUCAAGAAUAUUUCAGUCUUGUAUGGGAGGUAAGAAAUGUGUUUGC
rnacentral:lncRNA from 1 species